CGGGUCUUGAACAGGUCGCCAAUGUAUCUCAGCUGAACACAGAGACUGACACUGUCAUUAACAACGUACUGUAGAGCCGCUCUUUCACUGCACUUGUACUUUUAUGACAAAAGCAGAUGUCGCCCCGCUGUCCGGGCCAGCAGUUGUGUUUUUCGCGUUUCAAGAGGUUCAUUUUUCUUUGGAUGAAGUGUCAGCUGCAGGAGCAGGUACGCGGUGAGAGUACCAAGUGGUGGUGGGAAGACAUACUGAUUCAGCAGAAAUCUUCACCUGCACACUCUGUUGAGGAAGCUUCCUGAUCGCACAAACCACAGCCUGGGACUGACAGCUGCUGCCACCACCUGAGAUAGCAGGAGAAUAAUGAGGACGGGGAAGAGAGAUAAUGCCACUGGGGGAUUUUAAUAAAAAAUAUAUAUUCAUGAUUAGACCACAG